UACGUAGGGUGCGAGCGUUGUCCGGAAUUAUUGGGCGUAAAGAGCUCGUAGGCGGUCUGUCACGUCGGGAGUGAAAACUCAGGGCUUAACCCUGAGCCUGCUUCCGAUACGGGCAGACUAGAGGUAUGCAGGGGAGAAUGGAAUUCCUGGUGUAGCGGUGAAAUGCGCAGAUAUCAGGAGGAACACCAGUGGCGAAGGCGGUUCUCUGGGCAUUACCUGACGCUGAGGAGCGAAAGUGUGGGGAGCGAACAGG
rnacentral:rRNA from 1 species